CGGAGGGUGCAAGCGUUAAUCGGAAUUACUGGGCGUAAAAGCGCACGCAGGCGGUCUGUUAAGUCAGAUGUGAAAAUCCCCCGGGGCUUAACCUGGGGAACUGCAUUUUGAAACUGGCAGGCUUGAGUCUUGUAGAGGGGGGGUAGAAUUCCAGGUGUAGCGGUGAAAUGCGUAGAGAUCUGGAGGAAUACCGGUGGCGAAGGCGGCCCCCUGGACAAAAGACUGACGCUCAGGUGCGAAAAGCGUGGGGGAGCAAAACAGGAUU
rnacentral:rRNA from 1 species